GACCAUCAGGUGAGGGCAGUGUUAGG
rnacentral:piRNA from 1 species